CAAAGGCUUGGUCCUGACUUUACUAUCAGCUUUAGCCAAACUUACACAUGCAAGUAUCCGCACCCCCGUGAGAAUGCCCACAGUCCCCUGCUUGGGAACAAGGAGCUGGUAUCAGGCACCCCCCCCCCACAGCCCACGACACCUUGCUUAGCCACACCCUCAAGGGAACUCAGCAGUGACAGACAUUAAGCCAUAAGUGAAAACUUGACUUAGUCAAAGCUAAGAGGGCCGGUAAAACUCGUGCCAGCCACCGCGGUUAUACGAGAGGCCCAAGUUGAUAAACAGCGGCGUAAAGAGUGGUUAAGGAACACUGACAAACUAAAGCCAAACACUUUCAGAGCUGUUAUACGCACCUGAAAGCAUGAAGCCCAACCACGAAAGUGGCUUUAUCACCCCUGAACCCACGAAAGCUAAGAAACAAACUGGGAUCAGAUACCCCACUAUGCUUAGCCCUAAACAUCGAUCACACCCUACACUUAACAUCCGCCCGGGAACUACGAACACCAGUUUAAAACCCAAAGGACUUGGCGGUGCUUUACAUCCACCUAGAGGAGCCUGUUCUAGAACCGAUAACCCCCGUUCAACCUCACCCUCCCUUGCUUAUCCCGCCUAUAUACCACCGUCGUCAGCUUACCCUGUGAAGGCCCAAUAGUAAGCAAAAUUGGCAUAGCCCAAAACGUCAGGUCGAGGUGUAGCGUAUGAGAGGGGAAGAAAUGGGCUACAUUCACUAGCAGUAGUGAAUUUACGAAAAAUGCAUUGAAACAUGCAAUUGAAGGAGGAUUUAGUAGUAAGCAGGAAGUAGAGUGUCCCGCUGAAACCGGCCCUAAAGCAUGCACACACCGCCCGUCACCCUCCCCGAACCCACAACCAAACCAUAAAUAAUAAACUAUAACCGCAAAGGGGAGGAAAGUCGUAACAUGGUAAGUGUACCGGAAGGUGUACUUGGAAAAAC
rnacentral:ncRNA from 1 species